UACGAAGGGUGCAAGCGUUACUCGGAAUUACUGGGCGUAAAGCGUGCGUAGGUGGUUUGUUAAGUCUGAUGUGAAAGCCCUGGGCUCAACCUGGGAAUUGCAUUGGAUACUGGCAGGCUAGAGUGCGGUAGAGGAUGGCGGAAUUCCCGGUGUAGCAGUGAAAUGCGUAGAUAUCAAGAGGAACACCAGUGGCGAAGGCGGUGGUCUGGGCCGGCACUGACGCUGAGGAGCGAAAGCGUGGGGAGCAUACAGG
rnacentral:rRNA from 1 species